rnacentral:lncRNA from 1 species
UUUUAAGAAUAACAUGCAUAAAAAGAAACAUUAUACAGUUAUUACCUCAAUCCUUCAAUCCAUCCUGGGAAUGGAUCCUUGUAGGUGAUCAAUAUAAUUGUUGUCCUUAGGAUUAUGAGUUGGAGAUCCUCCUUGAAGUGUCCCAGGAGCAUCUCUCCCAUUGCUUUUGUGAGAAUGAGUAUGUGUUUGGCCAUCCAUGUAGCCUUGCCCUGAAGAAUCAUAAUUAUAGUGGUGCAAAUAGGAUAUAUAUUUGUAUCAACGGGGGAGGCUGAUUUUAUGAAUCAUUUACCUCUCAAUACCUAGAACUCUCAUAGCUAAAGUUACUUCUUUUUCUGUGGCGUUCUUAUCUUGAAGGUCCUUUAGUGCUUCCUCUACCAACUUUCGCUCCACAUGAAUGUCUAAGCUAGAUCUCCCAUUAAGAGUCUCGCCAUAGUUCAAUGGCUUCUCUAGUAUCAAUCCUUCUUUUUCCCCACAUACAUAGGCUGAAAAGAACCAGUAUUUAAAUAAAGUUAAUAUGCCAAAGAAGUCACAUGAUAAUGAAAUUUGGUUAAACACGUAUAUAUAUAUACGGUGGAGCUGACCUGUGCUUACAUGGAGAAGCAUCUUUAGUUUUGAACACUGCCUGGAGAAUUCGACAACAUGCAUGGCACCCACUACAUUGACACUUAUAGCAGUAUCGUAUCUGCAAAAAUACGGAACUAAAUUUUUCGUUCUUCUAAUUUAGGAAAAAGAAUUUCAUUCUAUAUCUACCUUUCAUCAAAUCUUGUAGUUGCAGCAGAGUUUACAAUUAUGUCUACUUCUCUGCACAUCAGAUCUUUCAGCUCAGAAUUUAUCCCAAAACUAUCACAAGCUAUAUCCCGGGGAACUGGGAAAACCUUGUCUUGUAUAAAGCCCUGCAGAUUGGCGCCCAACUUCUCCCUUAGAACUCUGAACAGAUCUGUCUUUAGAACCUGCAGUUUAAACAUUGUAUCAAGCAGUGAACUCUGAUAAUCUUGGAUUCUCAUGUGGUAAUGCAUAAUGACUGCGAACGUCUAUUCUAAUGUGCUGGCUAUUAUUUCUACUGCUGCUAGCAUACAAUCAUAUAAGAGUACGUAGUAUUGUGGUAGUACCUCGUUGACAAAGCGUUGUUUAGCUGAAUUUGGAUCUGGAGCUCUAAUUAGCAAGUAGAGCUUCUUCACAUUUGGUUGGACUCCGAGUAUCUUCUCGGAGAGAACUACAAGAAUUUACAAUAGAAGCAGUAGCAACACUAAUAUUAUUCACAGAGCACUAUUAAAGGAGGUAGAGGUAUAGAGAAAGUACUCUUUGCUAGGUAGCCCGUUACACCAGUGAUGAAAAUGGUCUUGCCCUCGAGAAACUGGAGGUCAAUGCUGCGCGAUUCCAUUGAUGGAGAAUGUUCACGGAACUGAGCUAGAGAUGAAGGGAAAUUAUUACUGGAACUGGAAAACUCUAUAUAUGUAUUGCAAGGAAUAAGUUAUUAAUAUUGUAUUUGCACGGUAUACAAAAUCACCUGGAUUUUGAGUUAGAUACCAAUAUUCAACCACAAAGUAAUGUAGCCUAUCCGUGCAUGCAGUAGCAAUUGUUGUCCUUCCUGUCCAAAUACUUAUAGGGAAUAACCAGUGCAUAACAAUAGUUUUAAUGGGUUCUACCAAAAGUCUGGCCAUCUUGGAAACUUUGUAUUAAUUCCAUAGAGAAUAACAAUGGAAAAACUUAAUCAGCAUUAGAACAAAAGAAAUAAUUUUUAGAAAGCUAACUAAUUAUAGUACGUACAUAGAGGGUAAUUAAAGCCGUUAGAGAUUUAGUUGGAUAUCUUUCUUCAUGUACAUACAGAUUCUCACUUGUUUAUUGGCUGUGAUCCUUACGCAAAAUCUAGAGACUUUUGGGGUACAAUUAGAUGCCUCUAUAAUAAGAUUGUUGAUAAGGAAAUGGACCUUGCGAUUAACUCAACCUGAGGAUUGCCCAAGACAGACCAAGGCCUAACUCAACCUCUCAUGAGGGAGGAUUGCCUAAGACAGACCAAGGACCCUGCUCUGAUACCAUGAUAAAGAAAUGGACUUUGGACCUAACUCAACGUCAAAAGCUAGCUCAUGAGGGGAGGAUUGUCCAAGAUCAAGGACCCUUUAACCCAUCGAUGUGGGAUUCCAACAGUUGUACUAUAAUAGCCAAUUUUUUAUAGAAACAAAAUUUUCAUGAUAUGUUAUAUUAGAUGCUUAUUAUAACAACAUAUACUGUAGCAAUAAAAAAAAUAUAUAAAAAUAAAUGACUCCGUCAUAGAGAAAUUUCUUUAGUUGUUUUCUAGUUAGUCGAAUUGAUCUUCUGCUUUCAGUUUCCACGCUGAGAAAAGAAAAGAUUCAUGUAUAGGAUCAAUGAAGUUGGUUAAUGGAUUGGCAUAAACUAUCAGGUAUGAUAUAUAAAAGUAACAUUUUUUUUUUAUGAAAUAACAACUAUUAGUUGAGUGGUCAUCUAAGAAAUUGACUCUCCAUACAAAAUGCGUAUUUAAAUACUCACUUGCUUAUUAGUUUUUUUAAAAAAAAAAAAAUAUUACACGUGAACUACUUAAUAUCAGUUUUAACACUUUAAUUUAAACACGUAACAAUUUAUUUAGAAAAUCAAUCUCAUAACUAAAUGGAGUAACAUGCACAUUAGAUAAAAUACUGCAUGCGUACGUAAUAAAAUCAUAAACCAGGUGAAGUGAGAUAUUCUUUCGACAAAAAAUAUACUUUAAAAAUCAACCUUUAAUGAACUUGUGUUAUAAAUAUAUUUACAUUAUAAUAAAUGUCUAUCAAGAUCUAAUAAGAUCUAGUUGAUAUCUAUCAGGAUUUGAUGUAUUUGUCUUUUAGUGUGAAAUUAGGGGCAAAUUCUCCUAUAAAUAGAAGGGUUUCCUUGUAAAUCAUCCCCCAAGAGAAGAAAUAAGAAUUACUCACCUCCGAAUGAGGCAGAAUAACUAAGAAGAGUUAUUUCAAAAUCUACUUCUAAAGUAGUAAAUCUGAAAUUUAUUCAUGUAAUAAUAAAUCUAAAAUUUACUAAAGUAGAAAGUACAUGUCACGGUAAACUUGGAGUUUACUAGCAUAAAAGUUCAUAAGUUGACAUGAACGAUUGCGACAUCUUAAAGAUGUGCAUAUAAAGUAUUAAACAUAUAUUGAAGAAGUCAAAAAUUCUUCAUGAACUUUAAUGUUGUUUGUUCUCAUGAUACAUUGGUUGGAUCAACUAAUUUUGGGAUUGGAUCCCUUAAAAUCUUAAAAGUAUAAAAGGUGAAUAUGGGUCCGUUCACCUAUCAUGUGAUAUGUUGAUAUAAUAAUACUACUAAUAUUAUCUUGAACUCAUAUAAUAUAAUUAUUUAAGCAGCAACACAGCCUUCUUUCACAUAAUUCUUCUUUCUUAGAAAAUAUACUUCACAACUCCCGGAAUGUGAGUUUCCUUGAAGUAUUUUUCCCACUGAAUGGUUGUUGGAUCAAAAUUAAAUGUAUCAUCUGCAUUGCUUUCUCUUAUUGCCAUUCGCAACAUUUCAGCAUUGGUAUCAUCGAAACUGGUAAAUUUCAGCAUGAAUGGUGUUAGAAUAUCAAUUUGGAAAGCUAUAAUAAGUUCGAUAAAUUUAGUUUCCAGUAGUAUAUCAAACGUUAACAAUUUGACAGACGUUAGUUUAAUGAAAGGAAAGGGGGACAUCAAAUAAUAAACUCACACUCCUUUGAAGAACAUGUAAGGUUUGUAGAGUUCAGCAAGUCGAAUGACGUGAUUGAUCCUUCUUUGUAAGAUUAUAUGCUGGGCUUGAAAAUGUUGGCAAAGUAUCAAGUGUACCCACUUCAUUAUCUGAAACAUGUUAAAACUAUAUAUAAAUUUAGCCAGUGGCAGGACAUCAAUUCUUUUUCUACACAUCUCUCUUAUCAUUAAUUUCCCUCUUUUAGUUUUCUUGUUUAUACCAAACUGAUUUUUCAGUCUAAUUAACUUAUCAGUGUUCUAUGUCUGAAAUGUUGAAAUUUAUAUUUGAUGCGUCCAUAUUUUCAAAUACAUAUAGUCCUCGUUAGUACUAUAUAUCCCACUUCAUGGUAAACUGAAGCCAUAAAUGCGUCGAUUUUACAGUUAUGUUAGAAGGCAUUACUAUGAAAACUAACCUUUAAUAAUGGCAUGUAGUGGAUUGCUAUGUAUUUGUGAAGGCUAGCCGUGCUAUUCAGGAAACGAAAUUCCUUCACUUUGAUCGGGUUUCCUCUUUCGUCAAUCCACGGGAAUUUCUUGAAGUAAUCAACGAAAAUUUGUGCUAUAUCACCAAUAUUUAGUUGAUUCCUCCUAGAGGAGCUAAUAUGGUAAACAACUGUAUGGGAAGAUGGAUUCUGAUGGGCAGCCAUAGCCGCGAUGACUGAAUUCACAACCAUAUCAGCUGGAAUCUAGGCAAAAUUGCAAGAUGGUAAUAAGGAAUUAGUGUAAAUACUUAGGAACUCGACCUUUAGGUAGAUGAACUGAUUAAGAGCAGCCGAUGCAAAGUUGCGUGUUUCCAUUGUGACAUACGAUAUACACUACAUAUACACAUGACUAGUUCUCAUACCACAUCUAAUAUUGAUCCUCUGUCACCCACUACAACAUUCAGCUUUCCUUUACCAUAGCCAACAAUGUAGGUGUCCACAGUUCUGUGGCAAGGAAGAAACAUACAUAUUAGUUUACUAAUAAGACUUACAAUUCUUCAAUUUUCAUGUGUGCAUGCAUAAAACGAGUACAGUUAUUACUUCAAUCCUUCAAUCCAUCCGGGGAAUGGCUCCUUAUAAGUGCUCAAUAUAAUUGUUGGCCUUAGGAUUAUGAGUCGGAGAUCCUCCUUUAGGUGUCCCAGGAGCAUCUCUCCCAUUGCUUUUGUGAAUGAGUAUGUGUUUGGCCAUCCAUGUAGCCUUGCCCU